AGGCAUUCACCCGUCACAUUCCAACACCGUUCUGCUGCGGGAACACAAAGUGCACCUAGUUAUGCACCGCACUUUUUUGCACAAUUCUCUCCGGGAGGCAUUCACCCGUCACAUUCUAACACCGUUCUACAUGCGGGAACACAAAGUGCACCUAGAUAUACCUCGUUUACGUCUGCGUUGGAGGAGGUGGAGCUAGCGUUCGGCAAAACAUCGCAAGUUUAUAGAAACUGAAAUCAUAUUGUUACAUGCAUUUCAAGCUGUUUUUUACUAUGUCAAUGUUAUUGUUGCUCCUAUUUU